rnacentral:rRNA from 1 species
UACGUAGGGUGCAAGCGUUGUCCGGAAUUAUUGGGCGUAAAGAGCUCGUAGGCGGUUUGUCGCGUCGAAUGUGAAAACCCGGGGCUCAACCCCGGGCCUGCAUUCGAUACGGGCAGACUAGAGUUCGGUAGGGGAGUCUGGAAUUCCUGGUGUAGCUGUGAAAUGCGCAGAUAUCAGGAGGAACACCGGUGGCGAAGGCGGGACUCUGGGCCGAUACUGACGCUGAGGAGCGAAAGUGUGGGGAGCGAACAGG